rnacentral:rRNA from 1 species
AAUGGUGGGAACACUGAUCCAGCCAUGCCGCGUGCAGGAUGACGGCCUAUGGGUUGUAAACUGCUUUUACACGGGAAGAACCUCCCCUUGCGAGGGGAGCUGACGGUACCGUGAGAAUAAGGACCGGCUAACUCCGUGCCAGCAGCCGCGGUAAUACGGAGGGUCCGAGCGUUAUCCGGAAUCAUUGGGUUUAAAGGGUCGUAGGCGGGCCUGUAAGUCAGGGGUGAAAGUCUGUGGCUCAACCAUAGAAUUGCCUUUGAUACUGCAGGUCUUGAGUCAUGGUGGGGUUGCCGGAACAUGUGGUGUAGCGGUGAAAUGCAUAGAUAUCACAUAGAACACCGAUCGCGAAGGCAGGUGACCAACCAUGUACUGACGCUGAUGGACGAAAGCGUGGGUAGCGAACGGGAUU